GAAAACAGCGACAUGCAAAGAGCUCGUCUUGCCUGUUGAUAUCUUCCGGGCUUUGGAAUUGAUACCUCGCUAAAUGGUGCGCAUACGAAGGGGCGAUGACCGAGUGCACUUAACCGUCGACGAUCCAAGGACUCUCGCACACCAAUGUCAACCGACUUGUACCAUGUUAGCAAUCAUUCACGAUCUACUUAAGCCGAAGUGAGGAUGGAUUGACUUAGGGCGUCACACCUUGCCUGCCCAUAGUUAUCGUCGGUUCACCACCCAACUGUUCGUAUUCUUUCUGCCCACAGACUACGCCGGCAAAAGAGUCUUCACUUUGGGGUUUGUUUCGUCCCAAUCGAAUUGGCCAUCAGACCUGGACCGUGGUGCACCAAGGCUCGGCCAUCCAAACAGGCGCCCGUGACACGACCGAUUGAGGUUGACAGAGGCGACAAAGUCUAGGAGAGACAACAUCUUGCUCCUCCCAUCAGCAAGAGAGGCAAACUUGGAAAUCGCUGCCAGACAUCUCUUGUGCCUCGGUCGCGGUUUAACUUUUUUCCUUACC